GUGCGCGCGUAUCACUGUGACACACGGGGCCGCGGAGCGGCGGCGCGCGAGCUGUUCGUUCGAAUCACACUGCUAGAUAAGACUCAACUCGACGUUAAUGACUGCUGACUGAGAUGAAAGUGAGACUACGCAAAGCUGCACGACGGACCAAAAAACAGCGAAAAAGUCAAAACUCACGUUAGUUCGAUCGGAGAGAUUUCCUCAGUCGCCCCCCCCCUAAACACAGGGACAUAAUUUUACAGGCGACCCGCCCCGUACAUCUGCAGCGACGUCCAUCACGCCUAUCGUCGACCAAUCAAAUGCGCACAAGCGGACGAGCCGAGCUUUUAAUUGGUCACUGUGCAUCUGAGUCGCGAUCUGCUUUGUCGGCUCGGGGGCUUGUAAACACAUGUGGAACCACUCCCUCCUCCCCCAGAGUUAGGGGUGUGUCGUGACGUCACAGGCAACGAAGAGGAUGCUGCAUCUAAAAAUCCUGCAUUUCCCAGCGGUCAUGGGUUGUAUCUGCUACAGUCAACGAAGCUGAGAUUUUGAAGUCUGUCCGACUUACUUGCCGUGACACAUAUUGUAAUACUCUACCACUAAAAAUGUAGUCCAGCUCUUUUAAUAUUUCCAGGUAGUGAUUAGCAGUACAUAAUAGAAAAAAAAAUAAACAGAGAAGGUCCAGAAACUCAAAUUUAAGAACACACCUACAGCCAGAGGAAAUCACUUCACUUUGGAACAUAUGGAGUUUCCUGAUGAAAUAAUGAUGUGAACAAAAGGAUUACAUAACACACAAUGGACUUUGUUAUAUGUCUGCAUUCAUAAUUUGUCCCUUGAAUAAAUGAAUAUUUUA